rnacentral:rRNA from 1 species
GACGUAGGGGGCAAGCGUUGUCCGGAUUUAUUGGGCGUAAAGAGCGUGUAGGCGGCCAGAUAGGUCCGUUGUGAAAACUGGAGGCUUAACCUCCAGCUGUCGAUGGAAACCAUCUGGCUAGAGUCCGGAAGAGGAGAGUGGAAUUCCUGGUGUAGCGGUGAAAUGCGCAGAUAUCAGGAGGAACACCGGUGGCGAAGGCGGUUCUCUGGGCCUUACCUGACGCUGAGGAGCGAAAGCGUGGGGAGCGAACAGG